rnacentral:piRNA from 1 species
UAUGCCACACUCACUUCUGUGGACUGCU